rnacentral:rRNA from 1 species
GUGCCAGACUCCUACGGGAGGCAGCAGUGGGGAAUAUUGCACAAUGGGGGAAACCCUGAUGCAGCAACGCCGCGUGAGUGAAGAAGUCAUUCGUGAUGUAAAUCUCUAUCAGCAGGGAAGAAAAUGGCGGUACCUGACUAAGAAGCCCCGGCUAACUACGUGCCAGCAGCCGCGGUAAUACGUAGGGGGCAAGCGUUAUCCGGAUUUACUGGGUGUAAAGGGAGCGUAGACGGCGGUGCAAGCCAGAUGUGAAAGCCCGGGGCCCAACCCCGGGACUGCUCUGGAAACUGCGGCGCUGGAGUACGGGAGGGGCAGGCGGAAUUCCUGGUGUAGCGGUGAAAUGCGUAGAUAUCAGGAGGAACACCGGUGGCGAAGGCGGCCUGCUGGACUGCAACUGACGUUGAGGCCCGAAAGCGUGGGGAGCAAACAGGAUUAGAUACCCUCGUA